rnacentral:misc_RNA from 1 species
AAAGGGCUUCUACAACACUUCAGUGAUCAGUCGCUCACGUUCCAGUAAAUAGGAUAUUCGGUCUUCGGUCGCCGUCGAGUGCGUUCGGCAAGUUCGAAAUACGAAAUUUAAUUUGUGUCGUGUGGGAACGACACGUGUUUUCGGCGAAAAAGAGGCUACUCAGACGACGGUACCAGCCGUCGAAGAUUUAGUUGAAGCAAGAGGGGAAAAAUACGACCUGGCGCCACGCGACGUACCCGACAUGAUGGUUGACAUAGUCAUACCAUCACUACUUAUAGCAGCGUUGUUCGUCGGCAACGCUUUAAUCGUCCUCAUCAUAUAUAAAUAUAGGAAACGAAAAGAAGGCGAUGAGGUCGAAGAUGAGUUUAACACCAUUCCACUGAGUGUCAACGGCAACGUGCAUAAUGCCGGCAACGCGGUUUAGUCAUCUUACUACACAGGACGGUUUCACGCGGACGACUAAACUUCCCACUACGGAAGAAACGCAAGUUGGCCUACGUAUAUAUACGAGUUGACCUACGUAAUAUACUAGAUGACCUACGUAUAUCUCCAGUUUGGCCUACGUAUAUGUACAAGUUGACCUGCGUAUAUUCUUGCGUAGUGGAUAGUGAAUUUAUCGAGACUAGGAAGACAAGAUCAUUGUUUAAUUUGUAACUGACGUCGUGUAUACAUUUUUGUAACUGUAAAUCGAAACGAGAAAUAUUAAGUUUUAUGGUAUUUGUCACAGAUGUUAUGUUCCUUUAAACAUCUUAAUUAUGUCAAUGUCACGCUAAGAAUUGGUUUAGCUUUGUAAGAGCAAUAGGUUUUAGGUUAUUUCGAUCAUGUAAGUAGUAACUUUUGUGAUGUUAGAUAGCGUCGUCGAAAUUAAUUUAAAACUGUGCUGACAUCAUUUCUUUUCGACGCAGUUAAUUUAUUAACACACUUUAAAAGUGUUUCACGGCCAUAUAAUAGAAAUAAAUAGUGACUGUUUAACCUUCAGAUUAUCUUGUUGCCGAGUCUAGAUAAAUACAAAAGCGAUUAUGAUAAUGCAUUCAAAAGAUAAUUAAGAUUACAAGAAAGAUACAAGUUUUAUUAUGUCUUUAACGUAAAGCGAGGUGAUUGCUGAAGAAAAAAAAUCUAAUUACAACUACAGCAGCAUCAUAUUGACUUUAAUUAGUCGUCGGCGUGCAAGCGUUCUUAAUUGAUUUGAACUUUGAAGAACGUAUGUUGUUGACAGCUCGGUGGUCCGGUCGUGUCUCCGGUCUGUCGACAGCCUAAAGUAACACGCUUUCAAUAUCCAACAUGGCGACGUCGCCAGGACAACUUGGCAACCUGUGUUAGCGACUUUAUUUAAUAGGAUUUUAUAUGAAAGUAAAUAACGUCGUUGAUACAAGUCGCUGUGUUGUCUAAUCUAAGCGUAUUAGGGUUACCUUAUUUAUUCGUUAGACUCAAAUAGAUCGCGAAAUAGUCCAAGUUUAAUCUUUCUUAGGACCCUUUUAGGUAUUAAGUAAGGACUGAUAUUGUUAUAAAUACUCUAUUAGAUUUUUUUUUAUUUUCUAUCGCACCUUCACUGGCUCUGUUGUCACGUCAAUUAAGUACCUAAUGUUGAUGCUUGAUCGCUCUAGGCUAGUCUAUGCUCUAGGUACCUUGUGAUUAUAAUUUCUUCUGUAAUUGUUGAUGUUUUUGUAUUUGGCGGAGUAUGUAUAAAUUCUGUAAUGAAUAAAAAGCACUUUAUCUUU